UUUUCUUUUUACUUCAACAUUAUCUUAAUAAAAUGAGUAAAUCUGUUCUUAUCAGUUUAAUAUUGGAUAUGUUCUUUAGCUGAGGACUAUAUAUUAAAUGGAUUUUUGGAACAGGGAAAUGGAAUAGGAGCUUGCUCCGUCCUCUCCACGCAUCAGCCUGGUAUUGCAGUACUUCUGGGUAUGGUGCCUUUCCC